rnacentral:lncRNA from 1 species
GAUCACAGCACAUUCAACAGUUGGGUCCAGAGUCCCCUACGUCUGGAAGUUGGAGCAGACCCUCUCACACUCUAGGAGCCCACAUGGAGGCAAGGCGAGGGGCGGCAGUAUGUGGGUGGUUUAUUAGAAAGUGAAGCCUGGAGGCAUGUGAAGGAUGGUCAGCGAUAGUAAAGAAGGACUGGGAAGAAAGAGCAACCAGGAGGUUCAGCUGUGCAGCACCUGUCUCCCUCCCUGCUUCUGGGGCACCCCCCGCAUGAGUGGUACUGAUGGAACCCCGAGCACUGCUCCUCUCUACAGCAGUAAAGAUCCAAUUUAAACUUUAAAAAGCUAUACUCCUUACUAAUAGUCCAAACACCAUUCCACUGGCAGUUUAAGCAAAUGCCAUGUGUGAGAUUUAUCGAAGAAACAGCAUUGCAAGCAUAUUUAUAUUGAAUGAAGCACUGAAGAAGACAGGAACAAUAAUUAAGAAAAAGAAAAAAAAAAGAGUACUGGGGUUCAAGGCAUACUGACAGAGCUCCUUCCCCUGUAAUUUCAUGUGGAUCCUUCCUGGGAGUGACUUCAGAUUCUGACUUCCUUUAUUCCUAAAAUGC